rnacentral:ncRNA from 2 species
UGAUAUAGUCAAGUUGUUGGUGGCCUAGGCAUAGGCAUAAUCGGGAAAUUGGUGAAAAUCCAAUACUGCCCCCGCAACGGUCAAAGAGUGUGGAUAUAACAAUGAGUCACUGAGUUUUCUUGGGAAGACGUUAUAUUUUGUCUCUUGAGUCCGGAUACCGGCCAGCCUUUUUUUAUACGG